GACAGAGGUGCCGAGCGUUAGGCGGAAUCACUGGGCUUAAAGCGUGUGUAGGCGGACUUCUAAGUACCUUGUGAAAUCCCACGGCUCAACCGUGGAACUGCUCGGUAUACUGGUUGUCUUGAGCCACUUAGGGGCAGUCGGAACAGACGGUGGAGCGGUGAAAUGCGCAGAUAUCAGGAGGAAUACCCAUAGCGAAGGCAGCUCGCUGGGACGUUACUAACGCUGAGGCGCGAAAGCGUGGGGAGCGAACAGG
rnacentral:rRNA from 1 species